CUCCUUACAUCCCCCAUCUACUUGAAGGACUGAGCCGAGAUAUUUGAAAUGAUUAUUUUGGGACAGUACCACUCCAUCCAAACUAACUCCUUCCCUAUCAUCAGUUUGACCUUCACUGAACUUGCAAACAUAGUGGAGUUAAUUUAUAAAAUUUGGACGGUGAACCAUACCUUUUUUAAUUUUCAAUUUUUGUUUUUCUUCUUCGUUUUAUAAUUUUUAUUUUAUUAAAAUUAUUUUGAUUUUCCAACAAAUUAAUUAUAAAUAUUAAUGAAAUUACUUUCUUUUUUCAAUUUACAUUUUGAUAUAUUUUUUUUCAUUUUGUAAUUUUUAUUUUAUUCUACAUUAUAUUAAUUUUUCUAGAAUUUUUUUUAAUUCUUUUUGAUAUUCCUGUUUGUUGAGAUUUUAUUCUCUUUUUUCUACUUUCAUUUUCGUUUUCUUAUUUAUGUACUUUUCUAAAUUAUUUUAAUUCUUCUAUAGUAAACAAAGCCAUGCUAUUCGUUUUUUUGUAAUUUCCUUCUAGGUUUGAUCACACCUCAAUUUUCAUUAUACACCUCAUUUUAUUUGUUUUAAUUUAUUAAAUGACAAUAUUAUAUACACUUAGAUAUUUUGUUAUUUAAUUUAACAAAAAAACAUAGGGUUGAGUGAAUUUAGGAGUUUUGGGCUGUGAACAGCACCACACUUUUUACUUUUGAGUUUCGCUUUUCUUCCUUUUGAAUUUUUUAUCUUGUUUAAAUUUUUUUGAUUCUCCAACAAUUAACCAUAGAUGUUACUGAAAUUACUUUCUUUUUUCAAUUUACAUUUUGAUUUUUUUUUUUUUUACUUUUGUAAUUUUUAUUUUAUUUUAAAUUGUUUUAAUCCUUCAACUUUUUUUUUAAAGGGCUUUCUGGAUCAAAGGCAAUUCCCAUUUGUGGAUAGUAGAACAAAGUGAAAACAAAGUAGAACAAUAAAAUCCACCUAUUAGAAACUACUUUAAUUAUGACACUGUUCAUAGUUUCUUUUGACAUCUUGUAUUAAUUCCUUUUUUACUGGAAUCCAUCAGAUAAAACCGAUGGAAUUAUGACAUCCUUAAGAACUAAGAGGGUGAUUUUGCUUUGAUGCAAAUAAUUGAAAUGAAAUGUUUUCGGGGCAUUUAAUUCUUUCCCCGUAGACUGUUUUGAGCUUUCCCUCUUUUUGGAAUACAUCAAAUAAAUUUGAUGCAAAUGUAGCCAUCAUUGCUGUGUAAUUCAAUUUGUGAAUUUGAUGUAUUUGUGUUCGUAUCUAGGCUGCAGUAUAGGGUGUUGAUCUAUUGAUAGGGGAAUCCUGACUAUUCCUCUUGCUUCAAGAGAUGAUCAUGUGGCUCAAGCCCAGUUUGCAUUGGUAUGUGGAUUUCUUGCAGUUCCAAGAAUCAUUGCUGCACGAUGCCUUCCUUUCCCAUCAAGUUCAUUUGAUAUGGCUUACUGCUCAAGAUGCCUUAUUCGAUGGACUAAAUAUGGUAAUUGAUCAUUACAGACUGUGAUCUGCAUUUUUUUAAAUACAAGAUACAGGAUUAUUUUGGAGAUUGAUAUCUGAGUUUCUCUUACAAGAUUCUCUAUUUUUAGAAAUUGGGCACUGCUUUGACAAUUUAAAUCAAAAAUACCACCAGCCUAAUUGAUUUUACUUUUUAUCAUAUUUGCAUUGAUUAUUUUUGACAUUUGUUUUCCUUACUGCCUUUUAGAUAUUAUUGCUGCACACAUUUCAGUUUACAGAUUACAUAAUUUGACUUGAGAGUUGAGAAGUUGAUUGUAUUUACUUCUAUGUGUUCUUCCCAAUCUAUUCCCCCAUCCUUCCUUCUACAGAUUACAGUGUACAGAUUAUUGCUGCACAUAUUUCAGUUUACAGAUUACAUAAAUGGAUUCCUUCUAUGUUUUCUUCCCAUCUAUUUCCUUCUAUGAUUGAUUUAGAUAUUAUACCUUUAUAAUCUAAGCUCGAGGAUAUGUCUCGAGUUGUUUAGGUGAGCUUAUUCGUGCUUUUGUAGUUUGCUGGUUUUAUGCUGACAUUUGUAAAGUUAUUUGCAUGUUCUUAAUUUGUGAUUUUUUCUUUAGUUUUUCUUUGCCUUUUUCUUUGCUCUAGAAUUUGAGGCAAUAAGGAUGCUUCUUUGUUGGUGGCAAAGUUUUACUUGGUUUUUCUAGCCUCUUUCUAAUGUGAUUUGAGGUUGAAGUGUUUGCUAUUAGUAGAAUAUUGCUUGUCGCAAUGCAAUUUUUUAUUUGCAAAAUCUUUUUUUUUUCUUAGUUUUUAUGUGUUUUCUUUGUCAUUUUCUGUGCUGCUUUGGCACUUUUGUGUCUUUUUUUUCAAUCUUAUGUGCUGUUAAAGACCAUGUUGUAGUCUCAUAUUACUUUAUGCUUUUUUUUUUUUCCUUUGAAUUUUGUAUAUAUGCAAUAUAAUCAUGGCCUUGAGGGCUUUUUAGAAAAUUUUUCCUACCUUUUGGUGUUGGCUUUAUGUGUGAGAUGUGCUAGCUGAAACUAGAACCAGUAAGGGCUAGAUGGAAUGGUAUCUUUCAAAUUAAAUAAAAAAGUGAAAUGUUGACAAUGCCAUAUGAUAUGCACAAUACAUAUAAAUUAUAUAAAGUACAACCCACAAUUUGUACUGUUCUUGGACUGGUAGAAAUUUUGAGCAUUUUGUAAUUGUAGCAAAAAAGAGGGUCAAAUUCUUUCAUUGCCAAAGUGACAUCGUUUUUAUUUGGCUUAGCAAAUUGCCUUAUUCUUCUUGUCUUGGCAAACCAGACCUCUGCUUUUCUGUUCUUCUUUUUGUUUGGCCGAACCAGAGCUCAUGCCUUUGCUUUCCAUGAAGCCGACUGUGUUCCUCUUUCUUUUGCAACGUGCAGUAGGAAAAAUGACGUUUUCCUAUUGUGAUGCCAUGCCCAUUGUAGCAAUUCCUUUAUAUUUUUUAGCUUUGUUUUGCUUUUCCAUUCGGUACUUGCUCUUUCAAUCAACCAGCGGAAUUUGAGGUGAGAGGUUAGUUGUUUUGCUUCUUUUUCAUAGUUUUUUCUUGCUGUACUAUUUUGCUUCUUCAAUUGAGUUUCCUUCUAUUUGUUUUGGCAAUGGUGGUUUGGUAUGGAUACUUUGAGGAUGGUGGUAGUGGGUGGUCAUUACUGUUUUCUUGAGCUCUCUCUCUCUCUCUCUCUCUCUCUCUCUCUCUCUCUCUCUCUCUCUCUAUAUAUAUAUAUAUAUAUAUAUAUACAUAUAUGUUUAUUAUCAUGUGAUUUUUUGUUUUGUUUAGAAUGGGUUUGUGUUCUGUUAGCUCAACUCUUGGUAAUUUUAUUCACAUUUCAAAUUUAAAUUUUUGGUUCCCUUCUUAUUAUGUUGGUUUAGAUUGCAUGUUUGUGAUAUUGCUUUAUUUGAUUUAAUUGUGUCUUGAUUUUGCAUUAAUUGAUUUAAUAAUUUCUCAUAUUGUUUAUGUUUUUUGGGUGCUGUUCUUGCCUUCUGUUGUAUUGUGAUUUAGUGUAUUUUGUUUGCUGAUUGAAUUUUGUUCAAAGGUUAUCCUCGCUGCCCAUUUAGGAUCUGCUUUUCAAAAAAAACAGCUCAUUUUGCUAAAAAUUUUUUGCUCGCUCGGUUUUGAGGCUUGAUAAGGAAUUCGAGCAGCUCAUUCUUACUCCCCUCAAGUUAUUCAUACAUUCAAUUUACCUUUGAAUGUAUCCUAGCUAACUUACCUCCAGCACCAAAAUAUCCAAGGGAAGGCUUCUGAUGGAAAUGAACUACAUGCUAGCAUGUGGUUCUGCUGAAGCUUCUUUGAGGUUAUUAUGGAAAUUUGGGCUUCUUGAAAUACUUCUGCCCGUACAGGAAGCAUAUUUUGUUGACUAUGGUUUUAGGAGACAUGACAAGUGAUCUAAUAUGCUUUUGCUAAGUUAAUACAUAUUGUUUUGAUUACUCAUUUUGUGCUUAUGGAGUAUAUGCAAGAUUUAGAAGCAUUUUAAGGUGUCUGUUUGGUCAAGCAUCAUUGAUUUUCUCUAUCAUACCAAACAUACAAGUCUCUGCCAAAGCUUGAUCACCUUUUUCAUUGUUUACUGUUUAGCACUGGGAAAGACAUUAAAAAGCAUAUAAUUCCUUAAAGUUGGACUUAGUUUCCUUCAUUAUAAUAGUCCUUAAAAUAUUCCAAAGCAUAAGCUAACCCAACUAGCGUGUCUCAAAGUAUAUGCUUGAAUCUGGAAUUUGUUUUCUAUGCUGUGGUUAUUCUAAAUUCUGUGUUUUCAAUUAAGCCAAUUGUGUUGAUUUUUGGAGAAAUUUAUUUCAUUUGCUUAUAUUUUUAGUUUGGAUGUUUUCAUUUGCUUGGUUCUAUUUAGAUUCAAGAAGUUGGAUUUUAAGGAUUAUAUUUAAUUUUCCAUAUCUUUAGCUAUCUAUAAAAUCUGAUUAAGGAUUCCAAUUAGUUUGAAAUGGAUAAAUCCUAUUAGUUUCUGUUCUUAAGCCAAUUCAAGCUGAUUUUGGCAGCUAGCUUUUAUCUUAUUGAUGUAUCGAUAUUGUGCAUGUUAUAGCAGUUAAAAGUUUUUUAUAUAAGAAAGAAUUAGCGAUAAUGCCUUCUAAUAUUAUUAUUAUUAUUAUUAUUAUUAUUAUUUACUUCUGAGUGCAAUAAUAUGCUCUGGAUAGAAAAGAGAAGUUCUUGAUAGGAUUUAAGUAAAUGCUCAUUUAAUAUGAAAGGGAGAGAAUCUAAAGAAAUUAGUCACUAAUUGAAAAUAUCUAUUAUGAAGUUGAUUGGAGCUUGAUGUUAACCUGGUUGCUUAUAUGUGUAUUAGCGCAGUUCCCUUUAUUGUUGUUCUUUUGUUUCCUCCAAGGUUUGAGUUUUUCUCUUCAAUAUUUUUCUCUGCCAUGUCAUUUACUUUUCUUGCAAUUGUCACCUUGCUAACUCUUUUCUUUUUCUCUCUCUCUUUUUUUACAUGCUUUGCUCUGCCAGCUGCUGCAAGAACCAAGUGCUUUCAGAGGUUAUUUGCUUUUGGAGUUCAUGCUUUCUUUCUUUUAUGUCUUGCAGAAUUUUUAUAUGAUAAGAAGAGACAAGAACAGAACAUUUUUGAGGGUUUUAAAGAUUGAUCGGUUAGAACCAUCUGAACUAUAUAUUCUUGAAGAUUCUACAACCUACUCAGAAAGUGAAUGUUGUGACCUGCUAAGGCGAAUACAUGAAGGGAAUAAAUCAACUGGCGGACUUAAAUUUGUAACUACUUGCUAUGGAAUAGUUGGCAAGUUCAACACUCUGGUUUGGGCUUCAUCACGUCCGCAUUCUGUCUUGAGCUGGUCUGCAGAGGUGCUUGCCAGGUCCAAGCCUUGACCUUCGUCUCACUUCUUCUUGGUCUCACAAACUCACUACCCACGCAGUUCAAAGCAUUCAAGAAAAUAUGAAGAAAUCGACCUCUAAAUGUGGAAGACUUUUGCUAUAUAAUUGAUAAUACGUACACCAAAGAAGAGUGAAUACAAUUUAGCUAUUCAAAGGAGAUAUGAAAUUGAACAUGAUGUCUUCGGUGAGAAUUGUAAUGUUUGCUUACCGUUACCUGAUCAAUGUUGCUGUUCAGUGGUUCAGAAGAAUUUUGCAGUCAUCAGUCUUUUUGCAUGUUUAUAAUAGCAAUUGUGGUGCAGGAACAUCAACAUGUCAAUAGGGAAAGUUCUAUUGUCAGAAUACUGGGCAUCUUCCUGUUUCAUUACCUUCUUCAAGGGUGAAUGGCAUCUGUGGUGUGAUUGAUUAUAUAAUUGUGAAUCUGUUCUGGAUUUGUGAUUAAACUUUGCCAGGUUGUUCCAGUUGAUUCUCUCACCUAUGCUCUUCUUUCUACAAUUUUCUCAUUUUGUGAUUAAACUUGGUCAUAUUGCUAAAAGCAUCCUUAUAUGAAAACUAAGAAUAUAACUACAAGGAUAAGUGAUUUGUUUCAA